GACGAACGCUGGCGGCGUGCUUAACACAUGCAAGUCGAACGGAAGGGCCCUGCUUUUGUGGGUUUCUCGUUUGCCGAACGGGUGAGUAACACGUGAGUAUCCUGCCCUUGACUUUGUGAUAACUUCAGGAAACUGGGGCGAUUACCGGAUAGGAUCUCCUGCUGCGUGUGGGGGGUUGGAGAGUUUCGGCGGUUGGGGAUGUACUCGCGGCUUAUCAGCUUCUUGGGGGGGUUGUGGAUUUCCAGGGCUUUCACGGGUACCCGGCCUGGGAGGGUGCACAGCCACCUGGGGACUGAGAGACGGCGCAGACUCCUACGGGAGGCAGUAGUGGGGAAUAUUGCACAAUAGGCGGAAGCCUGAUGCAGCAACGCCGCGUGCGGGAUGACGGCCUUCGGGUUGUGAACAUCUUUCGCCUGUGACGAAGCGUGAGUGACGGUAAUGAGUAAAGAAGCACCGGCUAACUACGUG
rnacentral:rRNA from 1 species